AUGGGACAUGGCCCUGUAAGAUCAUAUAUAUUUCAGCUAUCACUUCUGGUUUUGUUUCCUUCAGGAGCAGUCAGUCUGGAGGUACAGCCAUGCACCACUGUGCAGUUCGAGAUUUGUUUGGAAAAUCUCACGGUGCAGGUGAAGUGGUGCAAACCUGAAUGUCUGGAGGGGGAGAAUCAAACCAUCCCUGUGACUCCAGGAGAAAACUGUAUGAAUUUCACCAGCUCAAGCCCGUGUGCAGCCCACACAGGAAUCUGUGCAUGUAGGGUCUUCAUCACAAGACCAAAUUUGACAGACACUGGAAACUGCACACAAGCAGCAGUUCACUGCUGUGGCUGUGCAGAACCUCUGACUGAUGUCACAGGGAAGAUCUGGACAGGAGAGCUCAUGAGCAGGGAAGUGGCAGAGAGGAAUCAGGUCAAUAUGGCAGCCCCAGUGACAGGGACUGAGGACCUGACCUAUGCCAACCUGAAUUUUGGAAAGAAGGAGAGAGGACCUGCCUCCUCCAAUGUCAUUUACACUGAGAUCAAGCCAUCACAACAGAAGCAGAGUGCUGGGGAGGGCAGUGCUGCCAGCACAGAUAUGUAUGUCUCCUCCAAGGAAGAGGGCAAGUGA
rnacentral:lncRNA from 1 species